UGAGUGCGUAGUUAGGCUAGGCGUGCGUAGUAAUCACGGGCCGAGACGGGUGGUCCGGUAAAGUACAAUCCAGCCGAGAGGCUUAGACGGUCAUACAGUACACGCCCAUCAUUUUAUUCAUCGCUAUGGAUCAGCGGGACAUGGAAAAAGAGAUAUCUCUACAGAAGGUUGUUAUAAAUGAGCUGGAGCAAGUGAAGAAAACCUCAAAGGUGUACAAAAAGCAACAGAACAGCUCUAUUUUCUUCCUUUCAUCUAUUGACAAGGAAAUGGCAGCAGCUCGAAAUAACCUGAACAGUCUGACAAAAGAGUAUCAAGAAGUGGAACAAGCGCCGGGCUCAACAGCAGACGUGACAGGGUCAUGACAAUCUCUCGGAGUUAGAGAACGUCUCCCGCGAGUCAUCAACUGAUUCAGCCGGCACUGAAAUGUUUCGUAAUGGCUCGGGUAUGCUGAUCAAAAUGCUGAUAAGAUGCACUGAAUUUCAACACAGCACUAUGUAUUGUAUAUAUGAAAACAACUAGAAUUGAAAGAGUUCUUAUUAUAAGAAACACGGAAUUUCAACUAAGUACUGUGUAUUGUAUAUGAAAACAACCAGAAUUGAAAGAGCUUUUAUUACAAGAUACUCUGAGUUUCAACAAAGUACUGUGUAUUGUAUAUGAAAACAACUAGAAUUGAAAGAGUUCUUAUUAUAAGAUACCCUGCAUUUCAACAAAGUACUGUGUAUUGUAUAUGAAAACAACCGGAAUUGAAAGAGCUUUUAUUACAAGAUACUCUGAGUUUCAACAAAGUACUGUGUAUUGUAUAUGAAAACAACCGGAAUUGAAAGAGUUCUUACUAUAAGAUACAAGGUACUAUGUAUUGUAUUUAUAUGUAUGUAUGAAAACAACCAAAAUUGAAAGAGUUCUUAUUAUUUUAUAAGAUACCCUGAAUUUCAACGCACACUAUGUAUUGUAUAUAUGAAAACAAUCGGAAUUGAAAGAGUUCUUAUUAUAAGAUACACAGUUGAAUUUCAACAAAGUACUAUACAGCCAAAAUUGAAAGAGCUCUUUUUAUAUUAUAAGGUACUCUGAAUUUCAACACAGUACUAUGCAAUGUAUAUGAAAACAACCGGAAUUGAAAGUUCUACUCAAGCAAAGAAAAGAAAAGGUUUUAGAGGCAAGUAAGAAAAAGAUAUCCAAGUUGAUUAGUUGAAAGAGGUUUUAGUUUUUGUAAGUGUUUGUUUUACAGCACUUGCAGCACAAUAAAGUCAUAUAAGUGCAGAAGAUUAGAGGUGUUACUAGAGAGUAACAAGCAUAAAAAAGGAGGAGGAUAGAUGUUUGAUAGGAAAGAAGCAAACCACUCCAGAGCACCCGCCGACCACCCACUUGAAAGAGGUAAACAAAUAAAUUUAACAAGAACAAAAAGAUAGAAGUUGACCAACCCACCAUUUUCUGUCUAUUUUUAUUAUCCAAUUGCACUGAAAGGGUAGGGAAAUGAAGGUCCAUCCAUAUUGACAUAGUUUGGGGGCGGAAUUGUAGCAGAUAUUCUAGAACUGGUGACGGGAGGGUAGUUUCCUCACAGGUGCGUGAUUAUUAUAAAGAAUUC
rnacentral:lncRNA from 1 species